CAUCUGCUGGGGGGCAGCAGCAUGUUUGCUUUCGGUAGCGGCACGCUGCAAGGCCAUCUGCUGGCUGGGGAGGAGCGUUUCUCAGUGGAGGUGGACGAGGAGGAUCGGGUGUGGUACGAGGUGGUGUCCCUGUCGAAGCCAGCCCACAUUCUCGCCACACUCUGCUACCCCUACGUCCAGCUCAGGCAGAAGCAUUUCGCGCGCCAAUCGGGCCAGGCCAUCCGCAAGCAUCUAUCCGCCGCCAAGUAGCUACCUACUCUAGCUAGCUGGCUGCUCAUUUCUUUGUUGAUGACAUGACAUGAGUAAGCAGUAACAAAGGUUUAGUGCUGAUGGAUGGGAUCGUCUGCCUCUCUUUAUCCACCCAACCCAAGAAUGUACAGAUAUAUACUGGUGGACGAGGAGGUUGGCACGUCGUGUGCAGGAUUGCGCCUCUCUAUAGAGGGUCCAUCUAUAGUUUGAUAUAUAGUCCAACCGUUCAUUUGCAGAAAGAUUGUGGGAAAUUCAAGUUUGGGGUUCUUUUCUAUACUGAAGACGGUAGGGAUUUGUUAAUCUGCAAGUUUCAGAAUCUGCAAUACUUUUCAAGAGAUUAACUUGUUAUACAUUUGCUUUUUCA